UACGAAGGGGGCGAGCGUUGUUCGGAUUUACUGGGCGUAAAGAGUGUGUAGGCGGUGCUUUAAGUCUGUUGUGAAAUCUCCCGGCUUAACCGGGAGGGUGCGGCGGAAACUGGAGUGCUUGAGGGUGGGAGAGGUAAGCGGAAUUCCUGGUGUAGCGGUGAAAUGCGUAGAUAUCAGGAGGAACACCUGUGGUGUAGACAGCUUACUGGACCGCUUCUGACGCUGAGACACGAAAGCGUGGGUAGCAAACAGG
rnacentral:rRNA from 1 species